UACGGAGGGAGCUAGCGUUGUUCAGAAUUACUGGGCGUAAAGCGCGCGUAGGCGGCUUUGUAAGUUAGAGGUGAAAGCCCGGGGCUCAACCCCGGAACUGCCUUUAAAACUGCAUCGCUUGAAUCCAGGAGAGGUGAGUGGAAUUCCGAGUGUAGAGGUGAAAUUCGUAGAUAUUCGGAAGAACACCAGUGGCGAAGGCGGCUCACUGGACUGGUAUUGACGCUGAGGCACGAAAGCGUGGGGAGCAAACAGG
rnacentral:rRNA from 1 species